ACUCUUGAAAUAGGAAGUCAAAGGAAAGCCAGAAUCAGAGAAAUCAAAUUAGAUUUAAAAUUCUUGUGAGCUCUCGGAAUGCAAGAUCAGGAUACACAUUUCGUCCUGAACAACUAAACCAAACAAAGCACGACACCAUUUAAUCAGAGGGCAAGAAUAAUCAAGACUCUGCGGCAGAUGAGGACCUGGCUCUGUAAGUGGACAAGACCCCUCAAGGCGGACCUGGGGUUCAAAUAAAGGUCUUCUGACAUCCGCUGCAAUUUAUCAGAAGACUCCCCAACCUUUUCUGGUGAUUUACAAGUCAGAAGGAACCGGUGGGGAGGGAGAAAAAAUCAGAGGAGAAGUGAAGCCUGCACCAUCCCAUUGAUGUCGAGAAACUGCAAUUCCUAUUAAGAACACUUGACUGUUUACUCAGCACGAGAACUUCAGCCUCAGUCUGCAUCAAUCUAAAUGCGUUUCGAGACGUCAGGCCCCCGAAAAGUGCAGACGAGGAGAAGGCUAAUCCACACCAUGGCUACAAAGCAAUGGCUGUUCCCUCCAAAGCUCUGCCAGCUCUAAGAAGGAGCAACCACAGCGAUGGUGGCGAUUGUGGCAUUAAAGACAACAUCCUUCGCUUAUCACAACAGUUUAGAAAGUACCUUUGGGUCUUCAUUAUCUCCAGCGACACGGGGGGAACCGAGGCCAGGGGGGAACCGAGGCCAGGGGAGGAAGAGCGUGUAAUCUCUGCACGGUCCCAUGAAUAAUACACCUGAACUUGGGUUCCGAUCAGGACUUCUGCAUCCGAAUGCAAGGCCACCCAGUGGUUUUCAUGAGGACGUGCUGCUGCUUUCUUUCCUCCUGGGGCCUGGAACCUUGUGAGCCUGAAUCCAGAAACAAACCCCAGCCAAGUUUGUUUUCAUGAAAUUGAAAGCCAAGAAGUCAAGCCCAUGGACUGGCUUCUAGCGAACUGAAUAUUAAAAAGGUAUUACAAGGAGAAUCCACCUGCCUGGCUGAUUGUUUCUUCCCCAAAUGGAUGAGAUGAUGAACGAAUGCUUUCAUUUACAUCAACAAUCAGUUGAAAGGGCUUCGCCAAAUAUUCAGUCCUCCCUAAGCCAAAAGUUACCAACUGAGUGCCUCCAAAGGACCAAAGGAAAAGAAAGCAGAAUGAGCAUCUUCUGUUUGGAGUUCAAGUUCCUUCUGCGACUUGCUUCUUGUCUCUAACCUCAACCUUUCUAUCAUUAAAUGGGAAGACCAGUACCUGGCAGCACAAUUAGAAUUAUUAAAUGAAACAUUAUUAACACAUGUACAAGGAAUAUAGUUAAACAUAUGAUAGGUGCUUAAUAAAUGUUGGCUUUAUCCCCCCUCCGCCCCCGCAAUGAGUUAACUUUUCUCAGUGUGUUGACAGGGGUUGGCAGAUGUGGACAAGGUGGGUUCUGCUGAAGCAGAGGUUGCCAGAGAUCCCCAGGUCUGCCAUCCACCCCCUUCCUGAGGACAGAGCUAGAUCACAUGUACCAGCCUCCUUCCUAUCAGGCACUGCCACAUGCUUUCCCGUACAACUCUCCAUGCUCUGGUCCCCUCUGGCUUGAUGAAGAAAAGUACUGUGAGCUUGAAAGCUUCUCUUUCCUUCAGGGCACACCCAUUAGAAUGAACUUAAGCAAGAAAUAAACUUCAGAAGUGUUAACGCACUAGAAGUUGAGGGUUUAUUUGUUUUAGUAGCUGGGGUUAAUCUUCUCCAGUACGUACACACAAUAUUGUUCAUCCAUUUGCAAAUAGAUCAGACACACGUAUAUGUCACCAACACAUAUACACACAUGCGUCAACACACAUAGACGAACCAACACAUAUACACAUACAUAGCCACGCACAUAUACCAACACAUCAGAAAUUUAGCAUUUUGUGAGCACGAUGAACAUUUUAUUGACUUGGUUCUCAAGUUUUCGCCUGGUUAGUCUUGUCCUUGCAACUUAAAUAAUACUAUUAAGAAUUUUUAAAUUUAUAGUUGAAUUUAUAUUCGAAAGACUUUGAGACUAGCCAGUCUGACGGAUGGCCAUCCUCUGCCUGAACCCCUCCUGUAACGUGGUAUCCACCGCCCUCCAUGGAAACGGAUGGUCAGGCAUCUCUGAGUGCUACAAUCAUGGGCUUUCUCUCAAGAACAGGGCUGCCUUCUCCAAGAUCUAUCCAUUUCCCAUGGCUCCACCGUCUGACAAAUCAAGUAGCAGCCUGUUGGUUUUUCUACAGGGAAGCCCAUUAAGCAAUUGAAAAUACAGUCACUUUGGCUGUAACUCUUGUCUAGAAAACACACAUUUGUUUCCUUGUAAUUGAUAGAUUAAGGAACCAUUUAAAUAUUAUGCAAAAUGUGCCUUUGCUUGUGUGCCAUUUCCUCUGCAGGAAACAUUGGGUGAAAGCAGAAAAACGCACCCAUGUGAAUGGGGUCCUGUGGAAAUGCAGGCUGUCCACCUGUACCUGCAGGUACUCCUCACACACCUGUCUACCACCCAGUCUUCUGUGUGUGUCUUGAUUCAUAGCUCUGCUCCAGCUUUUCCUCCGGUUUCAGAAAACCGUCCUUCCACCCCUUUGCAAUAACGCGCAAGCUUCAACUCUUCCAACGCUCACUUUUAUAAGCAACUUUGAGCCUUUUUCUGGAGGAAGUACUGUAUCUAGUGCAGUAUUCACAUGUUUUUCUGAACCUUUGAGCAUGUGCAACUUUUUCUAUUGGGUCUUUUAAAAAUUGUUUUUCCAAUAUGCCAUUGAGAAAGUGUUUGAAUGUUGAGUUCCAGCCUAAUUUUUUCCAUAAUUCUGUGGUUUUUCUUGCACAGUUUUGCAUAGUGGGUGAUUUUUAGGAAUGCAUAUAUCACAUUUUAGCUGAACUGACUGUGGAACUUAUAUCUUCUGUUAAUCUGUUAAUAGAAUGGGGUGUAUUUGUCAGUAAGGUACAUCUCCACGUUGUCUCAAUAAAAAAGUACCAUUUGCCAGGUCUGGCCUGAUGCUGGCCACCCAGCAAUACACAGACACAUGUAGUCCUUGCUCAUUUAGAGCUUGCAGAUUAUAGGCCCACCAACCCCUAAUUCUCCUGGGAGGGAGAAUAAAUUGGCAAACAGGAGGAUGCUGAUGAAAUGCCAUAAUUUCUUUAUUUUUUUAAAGUGAAAAAUAUGAUAAUUGAUUUCUUUUAUUGAAAUGGUGUAAUUUUGGAGUUCCUGUCGUGGCUCAGUGGUUAAUGAAUCUGACUAGGAACCAUGAGGUUGUGGGUUCGAUCCCUGGCCUUGCUCAGUGGGUUAAGGAUCCGGCAUUGCCGUGAGCUGUGGUGUAGGUCGCAGACGGGCUCAGAUCCUGCGUUGCUGUGGCUCUGGUGUAGGCCGGCGGCUACAGCUCCGAUUAGACCCCUAGCCUG
rnacentral:lncRNA from 1 species